GAUAACUGGCUUGUGGUGGCCAAGUGUUCAUAGCGACGUCGCUUUUUGAUUCUUCGAUGUCGGCUCUUCCUAUCACUGUGAAGCAGAAUUCACCAAGCGUUGGAUUGUUCACCCACUAAUAGGGAAGGUGAGCUGGGUUUAAACCAUCGUAAGACAGGUU
rnacentral:ncRNA from 1 species